ACAAAUUGGGACAGAGAAAUCAGGUUUUCAUUCAAAAUCUAAGGUUUGGAAUAUGUAAGUUUGCUAUCUAGGUUAUCUACAAUUUUCAUUCAAAGUCGGGUUAUAUGAUGUGCAGAAGAGGAAUAGUUGAUUUACAAACUCAUCUAAAUUCAAGAGUUCUUAGAGCUAGGUAAAAACUUCAAAUGCAGCCGAAAGCCACAAGUUAGUCUAGGUUGAAACCUGACAGAAAGUGGGAUAACUUAAGCUUAAGCUAAGUCAAAGCUGUUUGAAAAAAAAACAGAGAAAGACAAAGCUGAUUAGUCACCAGCCAGUUGGCUUAUUUGCAUUGUAUUCCACUUUCUUUCUCCUAGAGUUGGAAGUACAAAUACAGACUUAAAAAUAUGGAGUCUAAUGGUUCGAGAAAACAAUGUUUUGAAUCCCACUCUGUACUCUGAAAGAAGAACCUUUUUAUUUGUGAAAUUCAUUCGAGUUGCCUCUGUCUGCGCCAAAAGGAAAGGGAGGCAAAGGAAUCUAAACUCUCUGAAAAGAGCAACAUCUAGAGGAGUGAAAGUUAAGAAAAAGGAAAAUAGUUGUAAGGAGGCUGGAAAGAAACAGCUUCUAGAGAGCGUGGCAUAAAGUAGGACAGCAUGAAGAAGGUUUUGGAGAGAACAAAAGAGAGAAAGAACUGAUAGUUUGGGACCUGGAAACUUUGCCAAAGGGAUUCAUUUUUGGAACUCGACUAGACUGAAGAUUAAUAGCUUGUUUGGCCAAAAGCAAUUUUUGGCCAAAAGUGCUUUACUAGGCAAAAAAUAUUUUUUUUUCAAAGUUAAGAUGUUUGGCCAGACAAGAGGGGUUGCUCUGAUGGUAAGCAACCCUCACUUCCAACCGAGAGGUUGUGAGUU
rnacentral:lncRNA from 1 species